UGGUAAUUCUAGAGCUAAUACAUGCUAAAAACCCCGACUUCGGGAGGGGUGUAUUUAUUAGAUAAAAAACCAACGCCCUUCGGGGCUUUUUGGUGAUUCAUGAUAACUUUUCGGAUCGCAUGGCCUUGCGCCGGCGACGGUUCAUUCAAAUUUCUGCCCUAUCAACUUUCGAUGGUAAGGUAUUGGCUUACCAUGGUUUCAACGGGUAACGGGGAAUUAGGGUUCGAUUCCGGAGAGGGAGCCUGAGAAACGGCUGCCACAUCCAAGGAAGGCAGCAGGCGCGCAAAUUACCCAAUGGCAAUACGCCGAGGUAGUGACAAUACAUACUGAUACAGGGCUCUUUCGGGUCUUGUAAUUGGAAUGAGUACAAUUUAAACCUCUUAACGAGGAACAAUUGGAGGGCAAGUCUGGUGCCAGCAGCCGCGGUAAUUCCAGCUCCAAUAGCGUAUAUUAAAGUUGUUGCAGUUAAAAAGCUCGUAGUUGAAGCUUGGGUCUGGCUGGCAGGUCCGCCUCACCGCGUGUACUUGUCCGGCCGGGUCUUCCUUCUGGAGAACCUCAUGCCCUUCACUGGGCGUGUUGGGGACCAGGACUUUUACUUUGAAAAAAUUAGAGUGUUCAAAGCAGGCCUUUGCUCGAAUACGUUAGCAUGG
rnacentral:rRNA from 1 species